GCGAUCCCAGCGGGAAGGAACCGAAGGAGAGAGCAUCCCCCGCCUCCACAGCCCCCAGUCGCGGGUCGGGUCUGCCCGAGUCUUCCCCAAGUUUACACGAGGAUCGUUAGAGAGCCAGGGAAUACAUGUUUAUUUUCUGAGGCUUCGACAUGACAGACAACCGCCCUCGAAGUCCACUCGUGGAAGGCAGCUUGCCUCGGGAAGCCGUGAGCGCCCUCAGGAAGGGACACGUCCUACCGGGCCAACAACUCUCAGAUGGCCCCUAACUCCGGCGCCCGGGGUCCCUGAGGAGUGACCUGCAAGUAACCUACGGAACUGUUGCUUGCAAAUGAAGAAAAUGAAUGUGGCUUCAUAAAAAAAGAAAUCGGGUCUUCCUUCCAGCACUAUUUUUAAUCAAGUCCUUAACCCGCUAACUCGGGCCGGCGGGUGCGUUCUGGGGCACCAUAAGCCACCUACCGGAUCUGGUGGUCUCUUGGCAGUCAGGGUCGGCAGCGACCCCUCCUCCAGGGUCACCCAGGGUCCCCGCUCUGGGCCGGUCAAUGACCUAGAGGUUCUAACUACUACUCUUUCCUUACUCCCUCCACAGCCUCUUAACAGAUAACAAAGGGGCCGGGAGCUGUGACACUCAGUCCAGAGCUGUCUUAUGAGGCAAGGCUGUCUCCAGCUUCCAAUCCCUUUUCUUUCCUUUUCUGGUUUUUCUUGCCAGUUCUUUUCAUGCUCCUCAAAAUCUUGAGUUUUACUUGCUAUACAUGAUUGUCUCAAACCCUCUCCUUGCCAAAUGGUGCUGGUGGGUUUGGGUAGCCUGCAGCUUACCUGUGGGAUAAUAGAUUGCAGGUCGGUUUAUCAAGGGCUGGUGCAAACCUUGAGCAGGAAAAAAUUGCCAUAGGAUAUGGAAAUUACCCACCACCUGCUUUGUAUAAUCCCAGUGGUAACCAACCCCCAUCCUCUGUAAAGCAAAUGAAAAGGAAACUCAAUGUAAUGACUGAACCAGAGACUAAGACAUUUUUUUUUUCUAGGUAGAUAUAUGUCCUCAUAAUCACACAUUCCUUGGUUUUCUGUUUCCUUUUACUGCCCCCCCACACACUUGUUUAUUGUUUUGCUUUUCUUUGAGUUCACUGUUUAUAGUUCUAGCCAUGAUCUCCCACCUUUUAAUUAAUAGGACAGGAAAGUGAAAUCUCACAUACAGUGGAUUCCACUGUUCCUUCUGUCUUUCCCUAUAGGGAAGUCCAACUGAAAAAGAUUCACCUUUAAAAACAAAAUUGGUAUGCGAGGCAUAUUAACUGAAAACAAACUAUAUGCUAAGCACUCAUAUGAUCUGGGAUCAUCAAGAUUUAACAUUUCCAAUUCUUAAAUUCACAUACAGGUUACUAUUUCUGCUUUUUAUAAUUAAACUAGGCAAUAUUAAUGAAGUAGAGGAACUUAGAAAGUCCAUAUUUAUUUUUACAGAUAAAGACCUUGAGGCACAAAAAGGAACAGUGACUCAUCCAAACUGUAUAACAUCGUGGAUGAUUUUGCUUUCCUGGCCUCAGGGAAGACACCUAAGCCUUGGAAUAAAAUACAGAUUGAGAUGAUGUUUGAUCACUGCAGUCCAUUAGGGCCAGACUGAAGCCUAUUAACCCAGGUGUGAAAAGCUCUGACUUCUCUAGGCAGCCUCUGAGCCUGAGUCAUCUUCCUAAGACAUGUACACCUUUUUCCUCUUCUUGGUUGAGGAAGGUUUUUUCCUCCUUUGUUUAUGGAGGGCCUUGUACUGCUAAUGAGAUCAGGGUCCGGUUCAACCCUGAAAUGGGUGUUAACUCCUUCAGAUCCCAAGUUGAGGGGUGCAGGAGCCCACACCCAGCCCUGAAGCCUUCUCCUGUACCGUGCACCAUCUCCUUCUUAGAACACCAUGCCAGAAUGCCACUGUAUGAGCAGUGGGAAGGGAGCAUCAUCUCUGACAGGGACCCAGAGUCCUUUAGUUACCUGGGAAUUAAAUUCAACUCUUCAAUUUGUGAAGGGCAAAAUAAACCAAAAGAUUCAGUUAACAUUAGCUUUUAUAGAAAAUCUGGUUAGAAAUAGGAGAGAAGAAUGUCAGUUUGUAAUUUAAAAAAAAUCAAAAACACUUCCUAGUGAAAAAAAGUGUUCAUUUUUCUAAGAAGCAGAAUUUAUUCUAUUUCUGUUGUAAUGAAAAUGCUGUGGGUGCAUUGAUAAGGGGACAAAAAGAAAAAGGCUUCUUGCUGUAGUUUUCCUCUUUCUAUAGAGUUAAAUAUUGUCUACAUUUAAGAAACUGAAGAUGAAAACA